rnacentral:lncRNA from 1 species
CUCUUCAUGUAACACGUUGGCCUAAGAGAUCUAUAGAGCUUUUUAAAAACAAAGAAGGCAGCAAGAUUUAAAAUAAUAAAACCAGCAAUAGGUAUUUUUAAAAGUGAGAGAAACUAUCAGAGAGCUGUAGCAGAAAAGCAAGUUAAAAAUAAAGGAAACAGAAAAGGAACUGAUACAGCUGAUUUGAUACUGGAAAAAUCACCCAGGAGGCAGCGUGGACAAUGGAUUGGAGAAGGGCGAACAUUCAGUCAGAGACUUUGCUUACUGUAAAUUAGAGGGAGCAAAUUGGAGGAGAAAUGACAAAAGAAACAGAAAAAAUGUUUAAUCAGACAAAGGAACUAAAAAACCUCAGUCUUAAUUAGAAGAUGGUCAAACAAAUCUCUUAACUGAUGUUCACAAUGAUGGUUUCAAGUCAUCUAAGGAAUGGCUGGCUCUUGGAUGGAUGUUUGGCUGAAACAUUU